UUUUUUUUUUGUUGUUGUUUAUUUAUUUAUUUAUUUAUUUAUUUAAUUUAAAUUCAAUUUGCCACCAUAUAGUAUAACACCUAAUGCUCAUCUCAUUACGUGCCCUCCUUAAUGCCUGUCACCCAGUUAAGAAUGUUCUUAAAUUAACUUCUUCAAAUGUAUCCUUUUAGGGGAUAUGUUUUUAUGGCUGUACAUAUCCAGGUGGCAAACAUACAUAAGACGUUCUUAUAACCAAAGGCAAAAUGGGCUAAUAUGGAAAAAAAAGACAUGGAUUGUACAGAUAAAUUACUCUACCCUGAUAUGUGAAGUGAGAAGAUGGGACAGACCAUUGCCAUGGCUUAUAAAUAGGUAGGUGUGAUUCUUCAGUUUUGUGAGAGCUACAUUUUUAAUCCUUUCCCUCUAAGGAGUUGGUGACUGAGUAAUGUAUUGAUCCUUUCACAGUUUCUCCUUUCAUUACGUUUAUAAUAAAAGAAGAAAAAAGUUGUUAGAUAAGGCAAAAAUGUGGGGUUUGGGUGUUUAGAGGCAGUGGAACAAUGAAGGGUCUCUGCAUUUGCCUAAUUAAAAGAAAGAUUUCAAGAACACCAAGACAGGCCCAUAAUGGUUCUAUUGUUAAGUCGUCAUAUUUUUUUUUACACUGUUUACAUUGUGAAACUCCCAAUGCUUGACUGAUGGUAACCUUGCCCGCCCUGUGGGAAACAAGCAAUUUGUUCUAGUUUAAGUAUAGAGUGAAAAGAAAUAUAAUUAUUUCCACUGUUUUGUUUUUUCUCCCACAUCUACUCUUAAAUUAUAUCACUUUUGCCCACCUCAACUUAAUAGGUAACACAGGUUAAAAGUAGAAAAUGGGGAAAACACACAAAACCCAAUUGGAAAGUGAAAAAUGUACCAUAUUCUAUUCAUUAAAAGAAAUCCACUGUUAAUAUUCUGUUAUAAGUUUCAGGUAACUAUUGGCAAAUGCUACAUAUCAAUCAACUUCAGAGUCCUGGUAGUUUACAACAACAAAUAAUUAUCUUUCCACUCGUGGAUCUGUGGGUUGGUUGGACUGGUUUUGGGUGGAUGCAGGUGGGUUUGUCUCUAAGCAACAGAUGUGGGUUAGGGCCCCUUCAUGUGAUUUAUUUUGGGGCCCCAAAUAUGACCGAAGAACUGAAGGGUAUUACGAUUUUCCAGGGAGAUGCUAUGAAAGCUAGGCUGGGGAACAGUGGUUGGGCUGUAGGUGAACAACAUUGGCCUUAGGUGAUAAUUACUGACACUGUGAAUUUAUUAUACUGCUCUUUCUACUCUUACAUGUUUAAACUGUUACAUAACCAAGAGCUAAAUUUGUAUCCAGAAUACUGCUUUUAUUAUUAAAAGUUUCUUUAAUGCCAAUCUUUAAUAUCUACAUACUGUUGCAGCAGUAGUAGUAACAACGGUAGUAGUAGCAGCAGCAGUAGGAGGAGCAGUAGCAACUGUAGACAAACAGUAGUAGUAGUUGUUGUUGUUAUCUGGUAGCAAAUACUGUAUAUCAAGUAUCUAGCCUGUGAUUCUGUAAUGGCCAUGAGCUGCCCUUCAGAUCAAAGGGCCCAUCAAAGUUCCAGCAAUUUUUAUUGAUGCUCCUCAUUUACAUUUGUUUGAUUCACUGUGUUUUACAGUAAUAGAUCUUGACAAAUAUGUGGAAAGUGUCUUAAUAGUAGACCCUCCAGGAUCACCACAUGAGCCACUCUCCCCACCACCUCCCUCAGGAAUAAUCAUAAUCAAAGUAACUCUAUGGUUUGUUUGUUCAUACCCAAUCUGCUCCCCUUGUAUUUACUACAGACUCCCAGAAUUUGUUGGCACUAUAACUAGCCGUUUCAUUCUCCUGUUAAGCCUCAAGAGAACCCCUGUAAGUGGGGGACUGGGCCCUCUACCUCUAACCUGACCCUAUUCCAACCACAGCUGCAUCCAAUAAGAUACCAAGUCCUCAAUGAGGAACUAUAUUAUCAUAUUCUCUUCUGGUCUGAGCUCUAAGGAGCUCAUAGCCAGUAGGACCAUAUCUUCUUUUUCCCACAUGCAGAAUCCUAUAGGUCAUCUUCUCUGUCAUCAAACAUUAUUGUGAAAUCCCACAGCCACAGGGCAUUUCCACUGAUGGUAAACUCAGCCAUAAGAUCAAAGAGGGUCUGCCUCCAGCCCUAACAAGAUUUCACCCAUAAGAAUAACUCUACUGGUGGAAUGAAGACAGAGUUCCUAGAAAGUUUGACUGCUAGCUGUAUAUUCUAAAUUCUUUGAUUUUUAAGCACCUGUGAUCCCACCAAGUCUUCUACCAGGUACAGGUCAAUCAAUAAUCUUAAUCAGUAGCUAAAUUACUUUCUUUGUAGUGCUAAUAACUAUUUGUUUUGGUUAUUUACUGUUGCACAACAAAUUGUCCACACUUGUAGCAUUAAAAGACAAUCAGCCAUUUGUCAUGCUCUCAGGUUCUGUGAAUCAAAUAUUCAGAUGGGACACAGCAUGCAUUGCUCAUAUCUACUCUGAUGUCUAGGGCCUCAGUUAGACUUAAAAGGCCAAAAUGUCCUGAAAAGCUGAAGGCUGAAAUCUGGAGGCUUCUUCAUUCAAACAUCUGGCAUCUGGGCUGGGAUAACUCUAGGGCUAGACUCAGCUGGGACCAUCAUUCAUGCAUCAACAUUUGACCUCCCUGCAGCUCAGCUUUUCACAGCACGGUGGCAGGGGCCCAAGGGGGGAGGACCUAGUGAAGGAACUGCGUAUGUAGAUUGAGCAUUCUAAGCAAAUUGGGGCAAAGCUGCAAGCCCUUUUAGGACUUAAUCCCAGAAAUUACUGGACAUCACUUCUUCCAAACUCCAUAGGUUGAAACACGUCACAAGCCUACAAGAUUCACAGGAGGAGACAUAGAGGUCACCUCUUAGUGAGAGGUGUUUCAAAGUGUUGGGGGCUGAAACCACCACAUGGUUUCAGACUUCAGUGGGAGCUGUGGUGCCUUCAGAACUCCCCAGGGCGGUGCUUUGCUAUGGGUGUGAUAACUGACAUGUGUGCAUCAUAACUUCCAUCCAGCAUUGACGUCUGAAUGUCUGAACAGAGUGCUUUAAGAGUCUUGCUUUUGUUUUCCCCCCCAAAAUAGCACCAGCAUUCUUUCUCUGAAAGAAAAUGUAUAGUUCAAUCAGCUCACUUGUGUUUUCAGAACUUUUUAAGGACUCAAUUCUCUUCCAUAUCUUCUGGAGCAUUUCAAAUAUAUCAUUAGUUUUGGCAUUAGGGAGGGAGAUGUUUCCUUGGGCCAUCCAGCCUCCAUGUUCUCAUAUUAAAUGGAUAAGCCAAUUUGGGUGACAGCCCUUGCAGAGCAGAACAGAAGCAUUUUUUAACCCCACCCUCCUGCUGCAGUGGCCACACCACGGCCCUGGACUCUGUGUCCUCAGUGAUUGGAAGUAGCCAGAGAACUACACCAGCUCCCAUCCUGUCACCGCAGCCCCUGAUAUCAAUCCUUUCACAUAAUUAUAGGCUACUUCUAUUUCAUCCCUGGCACCUUUCUUGUGUCUAGUCUUUGCCUAUUUUUCUCAUAACAUCUUUGUAUUUUUUAAGCAAAGCCUCUUUUUUACAUUUAUGUAGCAACACUUCGCUUCAUUUUAAAAUGAAACCUGUUUUAAUUUUUUUAACUUUCCUUUUUCUUUUUCUUUUUUCUAAAGCUACAAUUUUCACAAUAAACACAUAUAUUUUUAUAAUUUUGGAAAAAAAACACACAUCCAUGAGGAUGGUUACUAUUUUUAAAAAUGACAAAGUAACAUGGGAUGAUAAAGAUAUGAAGAAAGUGGAACUCUCCCUAUGGAGAAAACUAUGAUUGUUCCUCAAAAACUUAAAAAUGCAAAUACCAUAUGAUCCAGCAAUUGUACCUUUAGGUAGAUACACACAAGAAUUGAAGGACUCAAAGAGAUAUUUGCACACUCAUGUUCAUAGCAGCAUUGGGGUUUUAAAAAAAUAUUUAAUUCAUUUAUUUGACAGAAAGCGCGCACACAAGCAGGGGGAGCAGGAGGCAGAGGGAGAAGCAGGUUUACCACUGAUCAGGGAGCCACACUCCGGCGGGGCUCAAUCCCAGGACGCCCGGAUCAUGACCUGAGGGGAAGGUAGACACUUCACCAACUGAACCACCAAGACACCCUGCAGCAUUUGUUUUAUUAGCCAAAGGUGGAAGCAACCCAAGUGUGCAUCAACCAAUGAACGGAUAAACAAAAUGUGGCAUAUUUUGUGGC
rnacentral:lncRNA from 1 species